rnacentral:rRNA from 1 species
UACGUAGGGUGCAAGCGUUAAUCGGAAUUACUGGGCGUAAAGCGUGCGCAGGCGGUGAUGUAAGACAGGUGUGAAAUCCCCGGGCUUAACCUGGGAAUGGCGUUUGGGACUGGAAGUCUGGAGUGCGGCAGAGGAGACUGGAAUUCCUGGUGUAGCAGUGAAAUGCGUAGAUAUCAGGAGGAACACCGAUGGCGAAGGCAGGUCUCUGGGCUGACACUGACGCUCAUGCACGAAAGCGUGGGGAGCAAACAGG